rnacentral:rRNA from 1 species
AACGAACGCUGGCGGCAGGCUUAACACAUGCAAGUCGAGCGCCACCUUCGGGUGGAGCGGCGGACGGGUGAGUAACGCGUGGGAACGUGCCCUUCUCUAAGGAAUAGCCACUGGAAACGGUGAGUAAUACCUUAUACGCCCUUCGGGGGAAAGAAUUUCGGAGAAGGAUCGGCCCGCGUUAGAUUAGGUAGUUGGUGGGGUAAUGGCCCACCAAGCCGACGAUCUAUAGCUGGUUUGAGAGGAUGAUCAGCCACACUGGGACUGAGACACGGCCCAGACUCCUACGGGAGGCAGCAGUGAGGAAUCUUGGACAAUGGGGGCAACCCUGAUCCAGCCAUGCCGCGUGAGCGAUGAAGGCCUUAGGGUUGUAAAGCUCUUUCGCCAGGGAUGAUAAUGACAGUACCUGGUAAAGAAACCCCGGCUAACUCCGUGCCAGCAGCCGCGGUAAU